rnacentral:rRNA from 1 species
GAUGAACGCUGGCGGCGUGCCUAAUACAUGCAAGUCGAGCGAACAGACGAGGAGCUUGCUCCUCUGACGUUAGCGGCGGACGGGUGAGUAACACGUGGAUAACCUACCUAUAAGACUGGGAUAACUUCGGGAAACCGGAGCUAAUACCGGAUAAUAUAUUGAACCGCAUGGUUCAAUAGUGAAAGACGGUUUUGCUGUCACUUAUAGAUGGAUCCGCGCCGCAUUAGCUAGUUGGUAAGGUAACGGCUUACCAAGGCAACGAUGCGUAGCCGACCUGAGAGGGUGAUCGCGGACAGUGGAAGUGAGACGCGGUCCAGACACCUAGGGAAGGCAGCAGUAGGGACUGGUCGGCAAAGGGCGAAAGCCUGAAGGAGCAACGCAGCGUGAGUGAUGCAGGUCUUCGGAUCGUAAAACUCUGUUAUUAGGGAAGAACAAAUGUGUAAGUAACUAUGCACGUCUUGACGGUACCGAAUAAGAAAGCCACGGCUAACUACGU